rnacentral:rRNA from 1 species
CCUACGGGUGGCAGCAGUCGAGAAUCAUUCACAAUGGGGGAAACCCUGAUGGUGCGACGCCGCGUGGGGGAAUGAAGGUCUUCGGAUUGUAAACCCCUGUCAUGUGGGAGCAAAUUAAAAAGAUAGUACCACAAGAGGAAGAGACGGCUAACUCUGUGCCAGCAGCCGCGGUAAUACAGAGGUCUCAAGUGUUGUACGGAAUCACUGGGCGUAAAGCGUGCAUAGGCUGUUUCGUAAGUCGGGUGUGAAAGGCGCGGGCUCAACCCGCGGACGGCAUAUGAUACUGCGAGACUAGAGUAAAGAAGGGGGGACCGGAAUUCUAGGUGUAGCAGUGAAAUGCGUAGAUAUAGGGAGGAACACUCGUGGCGAAGGCGGGUUCCUGGACAUUAACUGACGCUGAGGCACGAAGGCCAGGGGAGCGAAAGGGAUUAGAUACCCUAGUAGUC